rnacentral:rRNA from 1 species
UACGUAGGGGGCAAGCGUUGUCCGGAAUCAUUGGGCGUAAAGAGCGCGUAGGCGGCCCUGUAAGUCCGCUGUGAAAGUCAAGGGCUCAACCCUUGGAUGCCGGUGGAUACUGCAGGGCUAGAGUCCGGAAGAGGCGAGUGGAAUUCCUGGUGUAGCGGUGAAAUGCGUAGAUAUCAGGAGGAACACCUGUGGUGUAGACAGCUUACUGGACCAUAACUGACGCUGAGGCACGAAAGCGUGGGUAGCAAACAGG